rnacentral:rRNA from 1 species
AUUGAACGCUGGCGGCAUGCCUUACACAUGCAAGUCGAACGGUAACAGGUUAAGCUGACGAGUGGCGAACGGGUGAGUAAUGUAUCGGAACGUGCCCAGUCGUGGGGGAUAACUGCUCGAAAGAGCAGCUAAUACCGCAUACGACCUGAGGGUGAAAGCGGGGGAUCGCAAGACCUCGCGCGAUUGGAGUGGCCGAUAUCAGAUUAGGUAGUUGGUGGGGUAAAGGCUCACCAAGCCGACGAUCUGUAGCUGGUCUGAGAGGACGACCAGCCCCACUGGGACUGAGACACGGCCCAGACUCCUACGGGAGGCAGCAGUGGGGAAUUUUGGACAAUGGGCGCAAGCCUGAUCCAGCCAUGCCGCGUGCGGGAAGAAGGCCUUCGGGUUGUAAACCGCUUUUGUCAGGGAAGAAAAGGUUCUGGCUAAUACCUGGGACUCAUGACGGUACCUGAAGAAUAAGCACCGGCUAACUACGUGCCAGCCGCCGCGGUAAAAC